UACGUAGGUGACAAGCGUUGUCCGGAUUUACUGGGCGUAAAGAGCGCGCAGGCGGUCGAUCAAGUCGAGUGUGAAAGCCCCCGGCUCAACUGGGGAGGGUCACUCGAUACUGAUCGACUUGAAGGCAGGAGAGGGAAGCGGAAUUCCCGGUGUAGUGGUGAAAUGCGUAGAUAUCGGGAGGAACACCAGUGGCGAAGGCGGCUUCCUGGCCUGUUCUUGACGCUGAGGCGCGAAAGCUAGGGGAGCAAACAGGG
rnacentral:rRNA from 1 species